AUGCAAAAAGGAACAGAGUCCUAUCACUCCGAGUACAGGAAAAAAGAAGCCUUUCUUUCCUCUGAAGGCAAUUUUCUCCGCAGACUGCUCUGUGACACCGUCCUUGGACUUAAAAAAAAAAAAAAAAAGGAGCCAGUCUAUAGAGCUGCUCAAAAGAAUGGUAAUUAUCUUCUAAACCACUUGCAGAUCUCUGCUAUAGCAAGUUUUGCUGUGGGAUCCACUUAUAAGCUGGCUACAAAAAAAAAAUCUGUAUUAGACCCCCACCAGUGGUGCUGGGACUGGAAAAACCGGGUUUGUUUGCAAGGGCUGGCAUGUGCCUUUCCCAACCAGCUCCAGGAUCAUUCCUUGCAGUUUAUAGGAUCCAGAAGGCAUCCCCUUCCUCAUCUUUAUUCACACCUGCAUUUAUGGCACGGAAUAAAUCCAGCUGGCCCCCCUCGAUCCCCUUUUCCCAGACAGUCGCUUCCCUCCCUUAUACCCGGGUCCAUCUCAGCCCCUCUGCUCUGCUCACCCAACCCUUUACCUGAAGGGCCGAGGCACACAGGCAGGGGCAUGCUGCUGGCUCAGCGGCCUGAAAACUCAGCCGCCUGCUUUCUGCCUCUCCCCUCGCCUCCGCCGCCUCCUGCAAGCAGGCGGUACAGGGCAAGCUGGCCGCAGGCGAGCACGCUCCCUGCGGGCUCCGGGACGGCCGAGGCUCUCGGGCUCCGGCGUUUCACCGGAAGCGGGGCUGGGAUGCAUCUCCGCGGCUCUCCGGCAAGGACACCCUGCUGCUCCUCUCCUGUUUCCUGGGCCGGGUCCUACAGACCCCCGCGGGCCGGGGGGGAGCCCCCUGCCUGCAGGCGGGAUGCCGCCCGCCCGCUCGGCUUUGCUGACGUCCUUUCUGUGCCUCGGCGCUGCCCAGGCUGUUACACACCGGCGCAGCCUUCGGCUGCCGGGCUCUGCGGGGGCCGCCGGAGCGAGGGAGAGGGAGCGGCGGGCUCAGAGCCCUCAGCCUGGAAUUCAGCUCUCACUUCCGCGGAUAAACCAGGCCCCCGCAGCCCGGUACGAGCUGCCCGAGCCCCACUGAGCCCCACGGACUCGCGGGCUGCUUUGGGGCCCUCUAUUUCUGGCCCGGCGUGCGCCCGCAAGUGUCACCGGCAUUAG
rnacentral:lncRNA from 1 species